AUCGGGGGAAACUCCAGAGUCGCCCAUGAGGUUAAAAAGAAGUGGACUGAUAUGAAGAGCAAUGUAAAGAGGAAGGCGCAGCAAGAACGGACAGAAAGCAGGCAGACAGGAAAUGGGUUGAAGACUAUAAAUCUGGAUUCUUGGGAGGAAAUGGUAUUGACAACCAUUCCAAAGGUGUCAG